rnacentral:rRNA from 1 species
AAUGAACGUUAGCGGCGCGCCUAACACAUGCAAGUCGCACGAGAAAGGGCUUCGGCCCCGGUAAAGUGGCGCACGGGUGAGUAACACGUGGGUAAUCUGCCCUCGAGCGGGGGAUAACAUUCCGAAAGGAGUGCUAAUACCGCAUAAGACCACGACCUCGAAAGGGGAUGCGGACAAAGCUGGCCUCUAUAUAUAAGCUAGCCUUUGAGGACGAGCCAGCGGCGCAUCAGCUAGUUGGUGGGGUAAUGGCCCACCAAGGCGAAGACGCGUAGCUGGUCUGAGAGGAUGAUCAGCCACACCGGAACUGAGACACGGUCCAGACUCCUACGGGAGGCAGCAGUGGGGAAUCUUGCGCAAUGGGCGAAAGCCUGACGCAGCGACGCCGCGUGAGUGAUGAAGGCCUUCGGGUUGUAAAGCUCUGUGGGGAGAGACGAAUAAGUGCAGCCUAAUACGUUGCAUGAUGACGGUAUCUCCUUAGCAAGCACCGGCUAACUCUGUGCCAGCCGCCGCCGUAAAAC